UUUUCUUUGAAUUCUUUUUUAUUUUCCUUUUUUUUUUUCAAUUUUUUUUUCGAUUCUUUUUCUCUCUAUUUUUUUUUUUUUUCUUCUUUCAAAGAUACAAGCAAAUGUUGAGAACAAAAUAGAAAACAUAACAAGAGGCUAAAGGUUAGGGAAACUCUAUGACACACGCGCAGGUUCCUCCAGACGUCUCUUUUAAAAGCUUUGAUAUGCUGCGGACACGAUUUCUUAGAGAGAGAGAGAGAGAGAGAGAGAAAAAGAGAGAAAGAAAGAGAGAAAGAGAGAAAGAGAGAAAGAAAUUUACAUACACGCGUUGUCAUAAAGAUACAAAGUACACUAAGAAUUCUCGAUGUUGUAACACUGUAAUUCUAUGCUAUUAUAACUGAUUGUACGCAGUUGUUAUUCCGUAGUAAGUACCAAACAAGUUUUAAACGAAAAGAUAAAAAAAAAAAAACACAAUAAAAACAAGAAAUAAUAAUAAUAAUACUAAUACUAAUACGAAACAGUACGUUUAUAAAAUUCCUGUGACGUGUAAUAACGAGUGAGCGAGAGAGAGAGAGAGAGAGAGAGAGAGACAACACGCCGCGCUUUAAUGUGCGAAAUUUCAAUCUGAGAAAUACAAAAAAGAACGAGAGAGAGAGAGAGAGGAGAGAGAGAGAGAGAGCGAAGAGAGAGAGAGAAGAGCAGAAGAAAGAAUGAAAGAAAUAAAGAAUGAAAGUGGCGUGGACUGAGAAAGUAAAUAUGUGGUAAGAAAGAUGGAAUGUGGUAUAGUGACUGCCUCGUGUAAGUACUUUUGUCAAAAUUUAUUUUUUUUCAAAGAGAACAAAAAAAGAAAAAAAAAAAAGGGAAGAGAAAAGAAGGGAGAGACCGAGCAAAACACUAAGGGCAUGCAUAAUAAUAAAUAAAUAAUAAAUAAUAAAUAAUAAUAAUGAUAACGAUAAUAUUAUUGAUAAUAUUAUUAAUAAUAAUAAUGAUACAUAAUAAUAAUAACUAAUAAUAAGCUAAUACAUAAUAAUAAUAAUGGUACAUAAUAAUGAUACAUAAUAAUAAAUAAUAAAUAAUAAAUAAUAAUAAUAAUAAUAGUAAUAAUAACAAUAAUGUAACGCAAUCGAACAGAAGAUAUAAAAGUCCAGGUUUCCAUACAUAGAACGGUGAAAGAAAUUCAAACGGAUCAUUUUUUGACGAGGGCAAUCAAUCAAUAUAUAUGGUCCUCUAUAUAAAACAGAUAAAAAAAUAUAAAGCGAAGGGAAAAGGAGAAGGAAAGAAAAAGGAUAAGAAAAGAACAAUGAAGAAAAACAACAAUGUGAGGAAUGAGAGUAUCUAAGAUAAAUCUUAAAGAAGUUGAGAAUCGCUCAUCGUCGUCGUACACACGCACGUGUUAUCGUGUUUAACUGUUAUUCAAGAUAUUAUACCUCUGUCGAAGUAAAUUAAAAGUUAAAAAGUAAAAAAGAACAAAAAAUGAAAAAAAAAGUGGGAAAAUGAGAGAGAGAGAGACGAGGACGAAGGCUGAUUAAAAAGUACUACACCAACGCGUGAAAGAACAAAAGUUAAAGGCAGGAGGAAGAAGACGAAAAAAAAGGAGCAAAAAAAUUAAGAACACGCAAGUAAAUAAUAAAUUAAUGAAUGAUGGAAUGAGUGAAUAAAUAAAUAAAUGAAUAAAUAAAUAAAUAAAUAAAGAAAUAAUAAUUAAAUAAAAGAAAAACUGGGGAAAAUUAUAAUAGAAAAAUAGACGCGACAAAUUGAGAAUGAGUGACAAACGUACAAUGCGGGAUUGAAAUAGAAGAAAAAGGAAGGAAGAAAAAAAAAUUAAAAAAUAAAAGAGAAAUCGAAAGAAAAAGCUUUGUUGCGAGCAUAAAAGAAUCCUCUUAUGAGCGUUAGAGCAACAAUAACAACAAACAACAGUAAAAACUAGUAGUACUUGUAAUUAAAAAAAAAAAAAAAAAAAAAAAAAACGAAAAAAAAACCAAAAAAAAAAAAAACAAAAAAGAAACCAAAAAAAAACGAGAGAAAAGAAAAGAAAAUUUCUCCGCUAUUGGCACAAAUAUUGAUCGAUCGAUCGAUCCCUCUCCUGCGCGAUAUAUACAUCAUCGACGACCGGAUCUAUGAAAGAACAUUAGUUCGUUCCUCUCGAAGAAAAAGAAAAUGAAGAAGAAA